AGAAUCAACGCUGGCGGCGUGCCUAACACAUGCAAGUCGAACGAGAAAGUGGAGCAAUCCAUGAGUAAAGUGGCGACCUGGUGAGUAACACGUGACUAACCUACCUUCGAGUGGGGGAUAACCUCGGGAAACCGAGGCUAAUACCGCAUAACAUCGCAAGAUCAAAGCAGCAAUGCGCUGGAAGAGGGGGUCGCGGCUGAUUAGCUAGUUGGCGGGGUAACGGCCCACCAAGGCGAAGAUCGGUA
rnacentral:rRNA from 1 species